rnacentral:rRNA from 1 species
AUUGAACGCUGGCGGCAUGCUUUACACAUGCAAGUCGAACGGCAGCGCGGGCUUCGGCCUGGCGGCGAGUGGCGAACGGGUGAGUAAUGCAUCGGAACGUGCCCAGUAGUGGGGGAUAGCCCGGCGAAAGCCGGAUUAAUACCGCAUACGACCUGAGGGUGAAAGCGGGGGACCGAAAGGCCUCGCGCUAUUGGAGCGGCCGAUGUCGGAUUAGCUAGUUGGUGGGGUAAAGGCUUACCAAGGCGACGAUCCGUAGCUGGUCUGAGAGGACGACCAGCCACACUGGGACUGAGACACGGCCCAGACUCCUACGGGAGGCAGCAGUGGGGAAUUUUGGACAAUGGGGGCAACCCUGAUCCAGCCAUGCCGCGUGCGGGAAGAAGGCCUUCGGGUUGUAAAACGCUUUUGUUCGGGAAGAAAUCCUGUGGGCUAAUACCCCGGGGGGAUGACGGUACCGGAAGAAUAAGCACCGGCUAACUACGUG